GAAAUGCGAUAAGUAAUGUUAAUUGCAGAAUUCAGUGAAUCAUCGAAUCUUUGAACGCACCUUGCGCUCCUUGGUAUUCCUUGGAGCAUGCCUGUUUGAGUAUCAUGAAAUCUUCAAAGUAAAUCUUUUGUUAACUCAAUUGGUUUCUACUUUGGUAUUGGAGGUCUUUGCAGCUUCACACCUGCUCCUCUUUGUUCAUUAGCUGGAUCUCAGUGUUAUGCUUGGUUCCACUCGGCGUGAUAAGUUAUCUAUCGCUGAGGACACUGUAAAAGGUGGCCAAGGUAAAUGCAGAUGAACCGCUUCUAAUAGUCCAUUGACUUGGACAAUACUUUUAUGAUCUGAUCUCAAAUCAGGUAGGAAUACCCGCUGAACUUAAGC
rnacentral:misc_RNA from 1 species